rnacentral:lncRNA from 1 species
GAAGCUGCGAAGAUGGCGGAGUAAGGCGUGCCGCUGCAAACUGGCCUCUGGGCCGGGGGCGAGCAGCCCCCGGGAGGCCGAGUGCAUCUGUUGGACCGUGCGAGGAGAAGAAAAAAAAUAUCGGCCAGAGGAGAGGAACUAACCGAACAUUCUUCCUCCCUACCUUAUAGAGGGGAGUGGUCAUCUACACUAAAGCAAAGUGUUAGGCGCGUCCGUGCGAAGAGACCACCAAACAGGCUUUGUGUGAGUAAUAAAGCUAUUUAUUUCACCUGGGUGCAGGCGGGCUGAGUCCAAAAAGGAGUCAGCAAAGGGAGUUAGGGGUGGGCAGUUUUAUAGGAUUUGGGUAGGUAGUGGAAAAUUACAGUCAAAGGGGGUUGUGUUCUUGCGGGCAGGGGUGGGGGUCACAAGGUGCUCAGUGGGGGUGCUUCUGAGCCAGGAGAUGGAAUUUCACAAGGUAAUGUCAUCAGUCAAGGCAGGAACUGGCCAUUUUCACUUCUUUUGUGAUUCUUCUGUUGCUUCAGACCAUCUGGAUAUAUACGUGCAGGCUUGGGCUCAGAGGCCUGACACAAAGGUCUUAAGUAGGGGUCCAUAAACUACUGGAAAUUUUAUGCACAAUUAUACAUUUUUGUGGGAAGAAGAAGGUCCAUAGUAUCAGAUUCUCAAAGAGGACACUGUUUCAUAAAAGCUUGAGAACCACUGCUCCAAGACUUGACAUCUUUUUAAAAUUAAUGCCAGUGCAGGUUCCUUAUCACAGGAAGAAAAUUUUCCUUGACCUUUAGGUGCUUUUAUAUUCAUCUCAAAAACAAAAUUCUGAACUCAGGACUUGGCAAGUAAGUAAUUGUGGGCUAAUCGUUCCAAAUACUGUUUAAGUAGCUUGAAAACAGGUACAUAGAAGUGGAACAAUAAGCCGUUAGCUUCAGCAGAAGACGAACAUGAAAAAUGACUGUAAGCUAUUGAAAUUUAAGUUAAAUCUUUUAUUUUUCAACAAAAGAAAUGUAUUAAAUAAAAAGGAGUAAUCUUGA